rnacentral:rRNA from 1 species
GACGAACCGUGCGAACGUUAUUCGGAAUCAUUGGGCUUAAAGGGCGCGUAGCCGGGUCGGCGCAUCGGACGCUGAAAUCCCCCGGCUUAACCGGGGAAUGGGCGCCGAGAUGGCCGGCCUCGAGUGGAGGAGGGGGACCUGGAACUGCCGGUGGAGCGGUGAAAUGCGUUGAGAUCGGCAGGAACACCGACGGCGAAAGCGAGGUCCUGGACUCUUACUGGCGUUGAGGCGCGAAAGCUAGGGGAGCGAACGAG